AGCAGUGGGGAAUUUUGGACAAUGGGCGAAAGCGUGAUCCAGCAAUGCCGCGUGCAGGAUGAAGGCCUUCGGGUUGUAAACUGCUUUUGUACGGAACGAAAAGCUUUGGGUUAAUACCUAGGAGUCAUGACGGUACCGUAAGAAUAAGCCCGGGCUAAUUACGUGCCAGCAGCCGCGGUAAUACGUAGGGUGCGAGCGUUAAUCGGAAUUACUGGGCGUAAAGCGUGCGCGGGCGGUUUUGUAAGACAGAGGUGAAAUCCCCGGGCUCAACCUGGGAACUGCCUUUGUGACUGCAAGGCUAGAGUACGGCAGAGGGGGGUGGAAUUCCGCGUGUAGCAGUGAAAUGCGUAGAUAUGCGGAGGAACACCGAUGGCGAAGGCAACCCCCUGGGCCUGUACUGACGCUCAUGCACGAAAGCGUGGGGAGCAAACAGGAUUAGAUACCCUGGU
rnacentral:rRNA from 1 species